ensembl:snRNA U6 U6 spliceosomal RNA
AUGCUUCAGAAGCACAUAUCCUAGAAUUGGAACCAUACAGAGAUUAGCCUGGCCCUUGCACAAGGAUGACACUCAAAUUCUUGAAGGGUUUUGUAUUUGA